rnacentral:rRNA from 1 species
GACGAACGCUGGCGGCGUGCUUAACACAUGCAAGUCGAACGGAAAGGCCCUGCUUUUGUGGGGUGCUCGAGUGGCGAACGGGUGAGUAACACGUGAGUAACCUGCCCUUGACUUUGGGAUAACUUCAGGAAACUGGGGCUAAUACCGGAUAGGAGCUCCUGCUGCAUGGUGGGGGUUGGAAAGUUUCGGCGGUUGAGGAUGGACUCGCGGCUUAUCAGCUUGUUGGUGGGGUAGUGGCUUAUCAAGGCUUUGACGGGUAGCCGGCCUGAGAGGGUGACCGGCCACAUUGGGACUGAGAUACGGCCCAGACUCCUACGGGAGGCAGCAGUGGGGAAUAUUGCACAAUGGGCGGAAGCCUGAUGCAGCAACGCCGCGUGCGGGAUGACGGCCUUCGGGUUGUAAACCGCUUUCGCCUGUGACGAAGCGUGAGUGACGGUAAUGGGUAAAGAAGCACCGGCUAACUACGUG